rnacentral:rRNA from 1 species
AUUGAACGCUGGCGGCAGGCCUAACACAUGCAAGUCGAACGAGUGGCGGACGGGUGAGUAAUGUCUGGGAAACUGCCCGAUGGAGGGGGAUAACUACUGGAAACGGUAGCUAAUACCGCGUACCAUCGGCUGUGCCCAGAUGGGAUUAGCUUGUAGGUGAGGUAACGUCUCACCUAGGCGACGAUCCCUAGCGGGUUUGAGAGGAGGACCAGCCAACCUGGAAUGGAGACAAGGUCCAGACGCCGAUGGGAGGCAGCAGUGGGGAAUAGUGCACAAUGGGGGGAGGCCUGAUGCAGCCAGGCCGCGGGUAUGAAGAAGGCCUUCGGGUUGUAAAGUACUUUCAGCGGGGAGGCGUUACCCGCAGAAGAAGCACCGGCUAACUCCGUGCCAGAAGCAGCGGUAAUAC